rnacentral:rRNA from 1 species
GAAAAGAACUUUGAAGAGAGAGUUCAAUAGUACGUGAAACCGUUCAGAGGUAAACGGACAGGGCCGCAAAGUCUGUUGCACGAAUUCAACCGACAUGUAGUCGGCUUCGUAUUGGAGGGCGCUUCGUUCUGCGGAGACUUCCGGUACGCGGCUAAACGACUGCGGUUGGUGCACUUUCGUGUGAUGGAGCGCCGCGACCGGUUGAUCGGCGGUAAGAAACUCCGGUGUUAGGUGACAUAUUCUCGUAAGAGUUUGUGAGUUAUAAACCCGGUAGCUAAUUGCCCGUUGAAAGAUCGAGGAGGACCGAGCUCAGGUGUUUUCGCCUUCGUGACUUUGACCUCAUGUUCGACUGGGAAUCACUGCUCAAGCAGUGUUUUUCGACCGCGCUUGGUUAUUCGUUUGGAGUGUCGAUGAACGCUUUUUCGAGGGGUCUGCGGCGAUUCGGUCGGUAGCCUGUCUGACCCGUCUUGAAACACGGACCAAGGAGUCUAACACGUGCGCGAGUCUCAGGGUCGUACGAAACCCGUUGGACGCAAUGAAAGUGAAAACAAGCUUUGGUUUGUUUAGGUGGGAUCCCGAAGCCGGAGACGGUGACGGGCGCACCACCGGCCCGUUUCAUCCGCUACGUCGGUGGGGCGGAGCAAGAGUGUACGCGUUGG